GCUCGCGUGGUCUAGUGGCUAUGACGCUAGCCUGUCGCGCUGGAAAUCCGGGUUCGACUCCCGGCGCGGGCG
rnacentral:tRNA from 1 species